GGGGAAGUUUUGAUCUCAUUUGAAAUCAUAUGUCCAUAAAAUCGCUUUAGUGCAGACUUCCCAUGUCAUGCCGUGCUGACUCUGUGUGAGAUCUGACAUUGUUCUUCACUCUUUAAUAAUGAGAGCUCAGGAGGGCAGGGAGAGGGGAAACAUAAACAAAAAUGUCAGCCUGAUUUUUAGCAUUGUACAAAUUUAACCCAAGUUGCCUGUGCCAAUCCUAAUCCCUCCUUUCAGGUUUGUCCUUUCCAUGUGGGUCAGUGGCAACUCAAUUCCUGAUACAUCAAAUCCAGAAACUUGCUGAGACCAUCAGUAUCUCUGGCAGUAUCACAUGGAGCAGAUGACACUUAUUUUGUCUGUGGUACAUGGCAAAUUUGUUCUCAGGAUCUGAAUUUUCUGUGGAUGUGGGAUCAGUGGCUUCCCUUCUCUGCUGCUCCCCUCAGUUGGAAGUGUGUUGCACUUUUAGGAAGUAUUAUUUCUCUUCACUUUAGCUUUAACCAUGUUGUUAGGUUUCUUUGCUUUUCCUGUAAGAUUGUUUUUCUCUUUCACCAGUGAUCUUAGCCAGUUCACAGUGCUGAUGGGAAUUUUUGCUCCUGCUAGUCUGCAGCACAUGUCCUUUCUAUAGUGUUUCUUUUCUUUCUGUGUAUUGUACAAAGCAGGUUUCACCUUUGAUAGCUAUUUUUUGUUUGCAAGGGGAACUGACAAGCUAUGUAUUUUCUUGGAGCUUUUCCUGCACAACCUUUUUUCUUCACCUUCUUGCCUUCUCUGUGUGGCACCAGUACUGGGAGCAGCAGAGCUGCCAAAUGAACUGGCAGAUGAGCUUUUGUAUUGUGUUUCAGCUAAGACCAGCCCUGCAUUCAUGAGAUAUUUCUGAGUUUAUAGGUGAAGUAAAAAUGCAAAUAUUGUAGAUAUUGCUUGUGGCACUGAUGAGGAGAACUGGUGUUGCUAAUAUGGGAGAGGAAUUGCAUUUCCAUGAGACGCUUGGGACUUUUUUCUGCUGGAUUAUUUCCUUUUCCAUACGAAAGAAAUGUUUAAGGGCCUACCCAUUCAAAUGCUGUGUAGGAACUUAUCCAGCCUACUUGCAAAAAGAGGGUGAUUGCAUCUACACUCAUUGAUAAUUUUCAAGGUAGAAUCCAUUGUGGUAGACUUGGUAGAACAUGAUCAGGAGGAAAGGCAGAGACAAAUUCUCUUUGGUGUAACCAUGGAUUUUAGACCCACAGUUUUCUUAUCAAAGCCAUGCUGGUGUGUGACAGAAGGAGUGAGAACCCCCUCCUGAUCCUGUGUAUGGGGCAUAUGCUUAUUAUUGUUGGCACAGCCUGAAGUCUGGUUGGAUUUGCUCCCCCUUUUUGCUCAGAUAUGCUUUUGGUGAUCAUACAUCCUACCCAUGAAUGCUAAAUGGUGGUUUGAUUCCACGUGUCAGCUGCUCCAUACUGAAAUGUGUUCAUCAGAAUUUCCAGUUUGGUCCCAGGGAGGCCUUCCUUACAGUUUUCUAAAUGAUGAAAAGUUAGUGUUAGAAGUGUUUCUACCCAUCCUUCUAAUCCACAGAAAAUAUGUGUUACAUUAAAGGAAAUAGUUCAACCUUAUUUGUUCUUUUUACUUUGUUUUUGUUUGAAGGGUGUUGAGCAUUCCAUCUAUGAGAGAACACAUUAUUGCUUCUAAACAUUAUUGCUGUUAUAAUACAGGAGAAGCAUAUCAGGACCCAUUCAUUAUUUAGCAGACUGGAAAAAUUUAAAAUAUAAGACAUCACUUGAGGCUGAAACUGCAGUCCAUCUGUCAGGAGACGUCUUGCUGCUGUAGGAGAGGUAAGGCGAUGCUGUGAUUUGGGAAACAGCAGGACUAUUACUUCCAGUGUCUGAGGCACAAUCCCAGUAUACAGGAGCCCACACCCUAAUUUUUUUGAGGUAGGCAACUCUUAAAGUUAUCUUCCUCUCUUUCCUUUGUUGGCCUUUUUACUACUUUUAGACAUCAGUUACCUUUGUAAUCCUUUUUUUUAUGGUUAUAUUUGCUAAAAAAUGCACCUGGUUUGGAUUCUCCACCUAAAUAACUUGACUGAGAACCUACAAUACUUGCUGUUCUCCCUCUUCUUCAAAGCUAGACUACAGUUAAUGAAAACUUGCAAGUGGUUUGUUUAAUACACUAUUAUUUUGUUUUUGAGAUUUUUUUCUCUUCUGCCUCUCAUCUUUGCAACCUGUGCAGCUUCCUUAUACUUCCUUGUAUUUCUUUAAACAUUAUGCAGAUAUAUAAUUUUUCUCCUAACUUAGACUUUGAACCCUUUGAAAUGAAAUCAAGUGAGUUUGCCUGUACUUGGUCGGAAGCUCAAUAGCUUCUACUGUUUUGCUGUGCAGGGAGUGCCAUAGCUGAUUAAAAUAGAUUUGAUCUUUUGUCUCUAGAUCAGCAGAUGAUUUUUAAUCUACAGCAGCAUCCCAAAGUUGUAAGGCAGCACUGCAUAUUUCCAUAGGAAAAAAAAAAGUAAUCACACCUGAUUGAGGCUGAUUUAGUUUUGUACAUCCUAGUGAAUAAGGCAGAACAAAUUUGCAGUGAGUCUGUGAGUGCAGCUAGGCUAUUCACUUUGCUCAAUUCUGCAUAAGCAGAGAAUAUAGAAAAAUCCAAAGUACUGACAAUUUCAUCCCUGUCUAAACCUAGGACUGAAUAUCAUAAGUGCAUAUCUGUAUCUAUCUAUCUAUCUAUAUAUGUAUAGAUGCAAUUCAGUACAUGUGCUCCAUCAAUUAUUACCUCAUAGGUUAUUAAUAUGAAUUUGAACUAUAAUACUAAAAUAUACAUGUGAUAAACAUUAGAUAAAAAUUAGACACAGGCAAAAAUGCCUUGCAGAAUUUGUGGUCUGAAUGACAAGAUUUACCCCAUAUGAAUGCCUACAGUGUUGUAACUUCAGCUCAUUCCUCAUCAGAUAGUUUAAGUUCAUUCAUGUCCUAAUAAGUGGUAACUGCCCUAGGAAGCCCUCUAAGCUUUCUAUAACCAGAUGUGCCACUAGUAAUCUUUCCAAAAUGUGAUGUCAAUGGAGCUGUAGCUGGUUAAAGGGCUAUGCAGGGCAAAAAGUGGUAUUAGUGGCUAAUAAAGGCUAAUUCUUCUGCAAGCAAAAUUAGCUCACUUCACAAGCUUGUUAUGACUUGAAGUGUCUGGCUGUUGAACUAUGCAUCUGGCUCAUUUGUUGCUCUCAAAGAGAUCCCCCCCUGACUGACAGCUGUAUUGGACUGGAAAAAAGUAGCCCAAAUGAGUGAGAACAAGAGGACUUCAGUUUGUAGGACUUUAGGACAGUAGCAAUCCAUGCCAACAACCUCCAUAAGGAAAAGAGAUGAACCCAACAAAGAAUGUGAGUGAUAGGGGGCUUGGCUCUGGGCACUAAAUUUCCUUAACUGAGCAGUUACUACUGCAGAACUUUGUGCUCACAGAUGCUGUAAUCGAUUCAUGUUAUACAACUACCUAAAAGACACAAAUGUCCAGUAACUGGUUGCAGCAACCCUAAAUAAUCACUAGAAACUUAAGUUCCAGUGAAUUCCAAAUAUUGUGCUGUGAUAAAGUGAUUAAAACAGCACCAGAAUAGCCUAAGCUUUUUGGACGUGUAUUUAUUUUUACUCACUGGUUUUCUGGGUUAAAUGCCACAUCAGAGUGUUUUUAUUACAAAGUUCCUGUUCCUGCUCAAUGCAGCUGUACCUAUUCUAAACUCCUUCAUCAAAGGCAACCAUUUCCUUUUUUUCUUAAUCUCACAUCAGUGUACCAAGAGCAGUUGUCCCUGGCUUCCUUAAGCUUGCCCUGCGGAAAAGCUUUCUUAAAAUCUUCCCUAUGUCCAUUCUUUCCUUUGCACAUGCUUAGAAAUGUGUGUGCAGGUGUAUAAACAUGGACACAUGCAUGUGCCUAUGCAUAUUUAAAUCAGUUUCUGCUUCAGCCUACAGCCUUGUGCAUGACCAGACUGGGAAAGGACUCCUGUAAAAGAUUGCUACCAAAAAGCAGCAAAAUGCUUGCGUCCUCAUGUGUAGGUACAUUUCAUGCUCUUCAGGAACUCCUGUCCUACAUAAGAAAAAUAAAACUUACAUCUGAGAUGCAUUAAUAACUGUUGUAAAGUAAGAAAGUAACUGUUGUAAGACUUAAAAUGCUGCCUCAAUACAUGUGGAUUCCUAGUGUCUGAAUCUGAUGCACAUCCCAGUGGCCCUACAGUGACCUUACUGUUGGCUGAUUCCAGAGAGCCACCUCAUUAUUCUGAGUUGAAAUUUCUCCAUCUCCAAAAUCAGAGGUAGAAUGCACAUAACAGUCCUGCUCUGACAGCAUAGGCCCAGGGACAUAAAGAAGAGCAAUUUUUCCAUUAUUGUAAACUGCAAAAAGUGUUCCCCAGUGAAAACCACAAUUUCACUUUGGUUUGAUGAGCAUGCCUUGAUGGCAUUGGGGUAGGUUUACCUUUUGAAAUUAUUGAAGAGUAGAAGUAGAUUGUGUACUGUUAGCAGGGAGCAAUGUAAUAUCAAAUUUCAAAUUUUGAAGUCAAAGUAUUUCAAAUUUUGCAGUCUAGAACUGGGGUUUUAUUAUAUUUUGAGGUUUCUCAUAAAAUGGUGGCCUUUCCAGUCAGCAGAGAUAAGUCUUGCCAGUGUUCUUUUGUCAGUUAACAAACUCAGUUAUUUAUAAACAAUCUUAGAAGAGUGACCUUUAAAGGGCGUGAGAUAUAAAUCAGCAAUCUCUUUUUCUAAUCACAGUCAAUGCACAGGUUCCAUUUGAGUUGUAAUGAAGAAGUUUGGAGCUGGAGACUACAAAUAUUUGAAGUAAUUUUGAUGUUAAUUUUUCAAAUUUCCAAGGUAUCUAAGAUGUAGCUAAUAAUAAUAGCGGGCGUUGUCUGUUUCUCCCAGCAUGUGGCAUGAAAGUGGUGUGGUCACAGAGCUAUGCAUUAUUUACAUGGUGUCAACACAUCAGCAAGUGGUAUGGCAGAGAGCCAGAUUAAAUCACUUCUGAUUUUAAAUACAGGACACUGAAUAAUUAUGUUGUGUCACACUUGAGGACACUGGAAUCUGGCAAAUCAGCAGCAGCUUAGUGUGUCAGGUUCAUUUGGAUGGCUUCUUCCCUUCCUGAAUGAUCACAGAAUCAAAAUCAAUGUUCAAGGAAACUGUAUAAAGUUGGAAUUGUUUUAUUUCCUUCCAAAGCAAAAGAUUGUACCCAGGAAACAGACACUUUUUGUUUGCUUUCUAUAAAGAUGUGUCAUGAGGUCACUGCCCUCAUGCAGGAAUGUUUGCAUCUGAGAAUGGGCAAUGGUGCAUGCAUGGUGCAUGUUUGCCAUUAAUCUUUGCUGUCUCUGUAAGUAGCAAGGUAUGAUUAAUUUCAUACAUUUGUUUUUUGCAGAACCUACUGCAACAGGUCUGCCAUCUCAAACAGGAAGUGUAUUUUUAGAGACAAUCACAUUAUGUAGAAUAAGGGCGUCAAGGAUUUGAGGUCUUCCAAGAAAAUCUUGGGUGCUGCUCUCAACCAUUGCUUCUGCACCAGCUCUGAUUUCUGUAUAACCCCUGGAGCUGGUAGGAAAAUAAUUUAGCAAAAUAAAAACAUAGAUAGCUUUCUGUUGGUUUAGUAAUCUAAUUAAAUUCAUCAUGGAGCCAUGUGAAAAUCAGAAAGUGGAAGGGAAGGGUUGGGCCUGCAUGUCAGGGAAGAAAGGAGAAAGGAUGCAUGGGAAGUGAAGGGAGCAGAACCAUUAGAUGGAUUUUACCAUAUUGUGAAAGCUCACCCUAGAAUAUUUAAUGGUCAGGCAGGGAGCUUUUAGAAGGUUAAAAGAAGCAUCCAAAAUACUGGGAUUCAUUUUGCCUUGACACCAUAAUACCCUUUUUAUGAAGCUAGAAAUAUGUAUGCUCAUGAAAACCCUUUGCUUUUUUUAUUUUAAAAUAUAAUGCAAACAUUGGAGUCUGUGCACAGUUCUUUCAAGUUAAAUGCUUAGUUCAACAUUCCACUUCUAUUUCCUGGUAGAAAAUGUUUUAUAUGAAAGCAACUUUAACCUUUCAGAAGGGUUCAUUUACUGUUACGUUUGGUAUCAGCUUUCCAAAAAAAUGCAGUCUGCGUUUGGCAUAUUACAGAUUCUGGUUUUAAUAGUGGUUUAGGGAAAAAAAGUCAUAUGGCAUAAUUCAGAAAUAAAAUACUGCAACAGAAUUCUCUCUAUACAUGAAUGCACCCCAUGAGCGAGUGGUUUAAAGUCAGCUUGAUCACUUAAAACCAAGGCAUGGGCUCAAGCUAUCUAUGAACCAGCUGGUAACAAAUAACACAUUUAACUCUCAGCCACAGGAAACUGUUAGGUUGCCUUUUUAUAGACAACUACAGCUCUACAGCUCCUGAAGCACAAGGGAAUUUCAUAUGGACUUGGAAAGAAUUGAACACCUACCAUAUGCACAUAAGGAAGGGUAAUAAAGAUGAAAGGCCAGAACUGAGCUUUAAUUUCUAUUUUUCUUCUUUUGAUUUAUCAUCUGCUUCUGCAUUGCUACAAUUUUCUUUGGCCUAAAAUUAGGGAGAAGAUGCUUGAAUUGCUUAGUUUGAUCAAAUCAGUCAAACUUAGGCUUCCAUCUCACCAGUGUAACAGAUGCUAAACAUGAAACCUUAAAGUACAUUCUUGCUUUUUUUAUGUCUUUAUUGCGCAUUCAUUUCUGAAGUGCUGACUGCUGUAACAAUCCCCUGUGGUGGGCAGUUCCUGGCCAUGGGUGGCUGUAGUCAUGGUGAGAUGGGCAUUGAGCUGGUAGAGCUGUAUCAAUGUAUUCAGCAGUAUGACUCUGAACUAGAGCAAGGGCUGACUCCUUGGGUGCAGGGCCAUAUAAACAUAUCUGAGUCUCCUCUGGGACCUCAGCAGCUCCUCUGCAAGUGCUUCAGGACUAUCUCAGCUGUCAGGUUGGCUCAGGAGUCACUGUACCAUGGUUCAUUGCCAUGUACGGAUGUAUUCUGGGAGUUAUCCUCCACAGGAAUUCUGCUGUCAAUAACCACUUCUUACAGAAGAAAAGGACCUUCAGACAGGCCUGGCCAUGAGUGAGACAAUAAAGGCUAAUCCUCUGUGCUGCUGAGCCUCAGCUUCUAAUAAAGGACUCAGAACUUGUAAGCGUAAAGCUUCAAAGUAAGUACAGAUUUGCAGAGGGAGGGCAGAUAAGGGGGUUGUAGCCCACCCAUCAAGACCACCUGGUCUUAAUAAAUGGUAGCAGUCAGCCUUUGUGCCACAUGCUCAUUCCAUAUCCUACUCGUCUUCCAGGGAGUGAGAUUUCCGAGAGUGCUGCUGACAAUGUAUGUAUCAAAGUCGGGUGCACUGCAGAGUCUGCCAGUCACACACAAUGGUUUUUGUCAUUCCUGGAACUGCAGCAGCUGAAUCUGACCAUGAUGGUCAGAGGCUGAACCUCAGUAAAAUAACACUUAGGAUAUUUAAUAUCUGAUGAUGAAUGCACGUCCAAUGCUUUGAAGAUGGAAAAAUCUGCAGAAAUGCAGACUAUUAUUUUAUCUGGAAAUGUGUUCUGUGGCAUCCCGAAGAGUAUUCACAUUUCUUAUUCCUUUUUUGUGCAUGUGCAGCUCUCAUGAACUUUCAGCUAUGAAUCCGUAUGGGAAUAAUUUCAUUGUGAGAAGGUGGCUUCCAUUCUGUCCUGAAAAAAGCUGCAUGAAAAUCACAGAAAGCUACAGAAGAAAGUACCAAUCAUUGUUUGAAAGCAUUGUGGCCUAUGGAGAUGGAAAACAGAACAUGGAUUUGCCUCCAAAUUUUAUAAGCUUCUAGAAACAUGAAUGAAUGAGAAACAAAUGCAAAAAUUUGCUUUAAAAAAAGUCAUAAAACUUUGUUGCUUUUACAAUGAACAGACCUGGCAAAAAGAACGUUAAUUAUCUUGAGUAUCAGUGUUUAAACAGGUAGUGCUAUUCCCAGGAUUUUUUUGUUGCCAGCUCCUCAGUUACUCCUCAAUUGCUACAUUGAAGUUAUCAGCCACUGGAACAAAUUAUGAAGAGGAGCAGUGAGUUUACCAUUUCUUGAAAUCUGCAAACUGAGAGGGGUUGGUAUGCCUUAGCACACAAUGGAUACACAGCUGGGUGAAAUUAUAUUGUUGCGCUACAGAGAAGUUCAUUAAAUAUCCUAUGUGGUCCUUUCUAGCUUUAAGAGCCAUAGUCUGUGUUUCACAAAGACCCUACAAAGAACUCUUAGAAGUACUGAUAACCACAGCACUAAUCUGAAUGCAUCUUCUGAUUUUGGGUUGAUUAUGCCAAAUUAUUUUAAAAAUUACAGACUGUAAUGUUUCUACAUGUUUCUGUCACAGCAACUCAUAUUACUAGCAUUGUUUUACAAUACUGGAAAUAUGGUUUUGGGGACUAAGGAGACCCUUCCUCUUCCCAGAAGAGCAGAAUGUACUUUAGUUCAUGAAAGUGUGUAUAAACAAGUAAACAUACAGGCUGCUGCUUCCCUACCUGAUCUAUUAUAGUCAAUAAAAUCAAUAAACUAGGCUCAUUCA